CAUGAUUAGCUAUCUAUAGCUAGGAUUGUAUAAAGGGUAGUCGCAGUCACCCCAACUCCGAUUUGUAAUCAUGAAUUGUAUUUAUAGUUACAAGUGAGGUGAGAAACAACUAUAAACGUUGGGAACUUUAAUUUUAUUAAGAAAUUAAGGAACUGU
rnacentral:ncRNA from 1 species